rnacentral:misc_RNA from 1 species
GCAAACUUGGUCAUUUAGAGGAAGUAAAAGUCGUAACAAGGUCUCCGUUGGUGAACCAGCGGAGGGAUCAUUACCGAGUUUACAAGCUCCCAAACCCCCUGUGAACAUACCGUCCCGCGUUGCUUCGGCGGUGCCGCCCCGGGCGCGGGCCUCUGCGGAGGCCGCCAGCCCCGGACCCAGGCGCCCGCCGGAGGACCCCCAAACCUCCCUCAUCUCCGCCCUCGCCUGAGGGCCCCUUUCUGAGCCGGCGACACCCCACCGGGGCGCCGGGAAAACAAAAACCAAAAUGAAUCAAAACUUUCAACAACGGAUCUCUUGGCUCUGGCAUCGAUGAAGAACGCAGC